UUACAUUUCUUCAGUCGCACUUAUAUUGAAAUUGGACCAAUGCAGAAAAGAUUAGCAUGGCCCCUGCACGAGGAUGACAUGCAAAUGGAUGAAGCAUUGCAUGUUUAA